CAGGGAGACAACAAAAUGUUUAAUAUUAUUAUUUUGUCACCUUAGGUCGAUCGGUAUCUCACGUUUUUAAUUUAUUAAGAAUUUCAUUUCCUAAGUUUUUCUAGGUCACACCCAUUAUUUUUCCUGGGCCAUUAGCUCAGGUGGUUAGAGCGCACCCCUGAUAAGGGUGAGGUCCCUGGUUCAAGUCCAGGAUGGCCCAUAUCUCUAUGUUGGGGGUAUAGCUCAGUUGGUAGAGCGCCUGCUUUGCAAGCAGGAUGUCAGCGGUUCGAGUCCGCUUACCUCCACUGAUCACCACCUCUUCCAUAAUCGGUAGAAAGGAAAUUUUUUGAGUUGUGAUCAAAUUCUGAAAGAAUCUAGCUUCCUAAUGAAAUCAUUAAGAUGCUGGACUCAUUGAAUUAAUUUCAUUGUUUUCAGAGAACCUUGACAACUGCAUAGAUUAUUUUUAAAGACAAUAAGCAUCUUUAUGAUGCAGAUUUAUUAUUUGUGCGAAUGCAUUAAUAACAAUUCUAUUAAGCUGAUGCUUCAAUUAUGAAGUUAUUG
rnacentral:tRNA from 1 species